AUUGAACGCUGGCGGCAUGCCCUACACAUGCAAGUCGAACGGCAGCACGGGAGCAAUCCUGGUGGCGAGUGGCGAACGGGUGAGUAAUGCAUCGGAACGUGCCAUUGAGUGGGGGAUAACGUAGCGAAAGUUACGCUAAUACCGCAUAUUCUGUGCGCAGGAAAGCAGGGGAUCGCAAGACCUUGCGCUCUUUGAGCGGCCGAUGUCAGAUUAGCUAGUUGGUGGGGUAAAGGCUCACCAAGGCGACGAUCUGUAGCGGGUCUGAGAGGAUGAUCCGCCACACUGGGACUGAGACACGGCCCAGACUCCUACGGGAGGCAGCAGUGGGGAAUUUUGGACAAUGGGGGCAACCCUGAUCCAGCCAUGCCGCGUGAGUGAAGAAGGCCCUCGGGUUGUAAAGCUCUUUUGUCCGGAAAGAAAAGCAUCUGGUUAAUACCCGGGUGUUCUGACGGUACCGGAAGAAUAAGCACCGGCUAACUUCGUGCC
rnacentral:rRNA from 1 species